UCUUUGAUCGUAAGCUCGUCUCAGGGAAGAACACAAUGACGGUACUGAGAGGAAGCCCCGGCUAACUACGUGCCAGCAGCCGCGGUAAUACGUAGGGGGCAAGCGUUAUCCGGAAUUAUUGGGCGUAAAGAGUAUGUAGGUGGUUUCUUAAGCGCAUGGUUUAAGGCAACGGCUCAACCGUUGUUCGCCGUGCGAACUGAGAGACUUGAGUGCAGGAGAGGAAAGUGGAAUUCCUAGUGUAGCGGUGAAAUGCGUAGAUAUUAGGAGGAACACCGGUGGCGAAGGCGGCUUUCUGGACUGUAACUGACACUGAGAUACGAAAGCGUGGGGAGCAAACAGGAUUAGAUACCCUGGUAGUCCACGCCGUAAACGAUGAGCACCAGGUGUCGGGGUCGCAAGACUUCGGUGCCGCAGUUAACGCAUUAAGUGCUCCGCCUGGGGAGUACGCACGCAAGUGUAAAACUCAAAGGAAUUGACGGGGACCCGCACAAGCAGCGGAGCAUGUGGUUUAAUUCGAAGCAACGCGAAGAACCUUACCAGGGCUUGACAUCCUUCUGACCGGUUCUUAAUCGAACCUUUCUUCGGACAGAAGUGACAGGUGGUGCAUGGUUGUCGUCAGCUCGUGUCGUGAGAUGUUGGGUUAAGUCCCGCAACGAGCGCAACCCUUGUCAUUAGUUGCCAGCCUUUAGUUGGGCACUCUAAUGAGACUGCCGGGGAUAACUCGGAGGAAGGUGGGGAUGACGUCAAAUCAUCAUGCCCCUUAUGUCCUGGGCUACACACGUGCUACAAUGGUCGGUACAACGAGAAGCAAGACCGCAAGGUGGAGCAAAUCUUCAAAACCGAUCCCAGUUCGGAUUGCAGGCUGCAACUCGCCUGCAUGAAGUCGGAGUUGCUAGUAAUCGCGGAUCAGAAUGUCGCGGUGAAUGCGUUCCCGGGUCUUGUACACACCGCCCGUCACACCAUGGAAGUCGGGGGCGCCCGAAGUUGGUCAUUUAAUAGACUACCUAAG
rnacentral:rRNA from 1 species